AAGGAGGGGGCGAGCGGUGAUAGGAAAGAAUGGGCGUAAAGCGCGUGUAGGCGGUUUGGUAAGUCUGAUGUGAAAGCCCCGGGCUCAACCUGGGAAGUGCAUUGGAAACUGUCAGACUUGAAUACGGGAGAGGGUAGUGGAAUUCCUAGUGUAGGAGUGAAAUCCGUAGAUAUUAGGAGGAACACCGGUGGCGAAGGCGGCUACCUGGACCGAUAUUGACGCUGAGACGCGAAAGCGUGGGGAGCAAACAG
rnacentral:rRNA from 1 species